UACAGAGGUGGCAAGCGUUGUUCGGAAUUACUGGGCGUAAAGGGCGCGUAGGCGGCUUGGUCAGUCCCGUGUGAAAUCCCUCGGCUCAACUGAGGAACUGCACGGGAAACUGCCUGGCUUGAGUUCGGGAGAGGGAAGCGGAAUUCCGGGUGUAGCGGUGAAAUGCGUAGAUAUCCGGAGGAACACCGGUGGCGAAGGCGGCUUCCUGGACCGACACUGACGCUGAGGCGCGAAAGCUAGGGGAGCAAACCGG
rnacentral:rRNA from 1 species